rnacentral:rRNA from 1 species
UACGUAGGGUGCGAGCGUUGUCCGGAAUUAUUGGGCGUAAAGGGCUCGUAGGCGGCUUGUUGCGUCUGCUGUGAAAGCUUGGGGCUUAACUCCGGGUGUGCAGUGGAUACGGGCAGGCUAGAGUCCGGUAGAGGAGACUGGAAUUCCUGGUGUAGCGGUGAAAUGCGCAGAUAUCAGGAGGAACACCGGUGGCGAAGGCGGGUCUCUGGGCCGGUACUGACGCUGAGGAGCGAAAGCGUGGGGAGCGAACAGGCUUAGAUACCCUGGUA